GCCUUGAAUUGCUAAGAGAGCUACCUUUGCCAAGACCACGUCGUGGGCUACGGGAUGCUAGAAAUCCAUUGGAAUCGUACGAGGAUGGGCCAUUUCGAGAUCGGUAUCGACUGUCAAAAGAAACCGUCAUUUACAUCAUCAACAUGCUGGAAGCAGAAUUGAAGAGGGACACACAGAGGAAUGAUCCACUUCCCGUUUAUUUGAAGGUGUUGACGGCUCUCCGUUUUUAUGCGGAUCAUUUCAAAAGAUGCAUGGUGAUGAGGCAGCAAUAUCACAGUCAUCAAUGUGUCGAAUCAUCAAAGAUGUGUCGGAAGCUAUAGCAAGAAGGAAGAGGCAAUACAUGAAGUUCCUUCGACAAGAGAUGAAGUUGAAGCAACUCAGCGACAGUUCUACCAGUACUGCAGAUUUCCAGGAGUGAUAGGUGCAAUUGAUGGGACACAUGUCUACAUCAGGAGCCCUGGUGGGGAUCAGGCAAUAUACUUCCUCAACAUGAAGAAUAGAUACUCGAUCAAUGUACAGGUUGUUUGUGAUCAGAAAACGUAUCCGGACAUCUACCCCCUGGACAUCCACCCCCCGG